UCCUAGCCCCGAUAGUAGUGGAAAUCCUUUUAUAAAGUUGUAGCGCAGCGGAAAUUUUAUAAAAGAUUGCAACGGAUAGCGGGAAUAGCU
rnacentral:sRNA from 1 species